GAUGAACGCUGGCGGCGUGCCUAAUACAUGCAAGUCGAGCGAACAGACGAGGAGCUUGCUCCUCUGACGUUAGCGGCGGACGGGUGAGUAACACGUGGAUAACCUACCUAUAAGACUGGGAUAACUUCGGGAAACCGGAGCUAAUACCGGAUAACAUGUUGAACCGCAUGGUUCAACAGUGAAAGACGGUUUUGCUGUCACUUAUAGAUGGAUCCGCGUUGCAUUAGCUAGUUGGUAAGGUAACGGCUUACCAAGGCAACGAUGCGUAGCCGACCUGAGAGGGUGAUCGGCCACACUGGAACUGAGACACGGUCCAGACUCCUACGGGAGGCAGCAGUAGGGAAUCUUCCGCAAUGGGCGAAAGCCUGACGGAGCAACGCCGCGUGAGUGAAGAAGGUCUUCGGAUCGUAAAACUCUGUUAUUAGGGAAGAACAAAUGUGUAAGUAACUAUGCACGUCUUGACGGUACCCAAUCAGAAAGCCACGGCUAACUACGUG
rnacentral:rRNA from 1 species